rnacentral:rRNA from 1 species
AGCAGCCGCGGUAAUUCCAGCUCCAAUAGCGUAUAUUAAAGUUGUUGCAGUUAAAAGCUCGUAGUUGAAUUUCGGGACCAAUCUGCCGGUCGUGCCUCCGGUACGCACUGGUUUUAUUGGUUUCUCCCUUCUGACGAACCAUGAUGUCAUUAAUUUGGUGUCAUGGGGAAUCAGGACUGUUACUUUGAAAAAAUUAGAGUGUUUAUAGCAGGCUCACGCUUGAAUACAUUAGCAUGGAAUAAUGAAAUAGGACGUUUGACCCUAUUUUGUUGGUCUCUAGGAUCGACGUAAUGAUUAAUAGGGAUAGUUGGGGGCAUUAGUAUUCAAUUGUCAGAGGUGAAAUUCUUGGAUUUAUUGAAGACUAACUACUGCGAAAGCAUUUGCCAAGGAUGUUUUCAUUAAUCAAGAACGAAAGUUAGGGGAUCGAAGACGAUCAGAUACCGUCGUAGUCUUAACCAUAAACUAUGCCGACUAGGGAUCGGAUGAUGUUAAUUUUUUAAUGACUCAUUCGGCGCCUUAC